UCAGCCAAUGAAAACGCUUUUUCCAAGUGCGACGAAGCACCACAAGAGCACAACAAGCGCAAGAGCCGCGAGCUCCCGAGAGAGUGGAUGUGCCGUGGUACCAUAGAACUUUUUUCUUUCUCUAUGGUGGUACCGCUGGUUCUUUUCUGUGGUUGCACUUGUGUGGUUGUACCAUGGUUGUACUGGUUUUACCUCGUUGUACACGUUCCGCAUAGGUGUUCUUUGGUUCUGCCUGUUCUACGUUUUGUUUCUGUCGUGGUUUCUGGUGUCUAACAUCCUUCUGUGUUCUGUGCCUAAAGGUAGCAGUUCUCGCGGACGAUGUCGCGUUAAAUCUACAUAACAAAGUCAACUUUGUGACGUAUCGGGACUCGUGGGGUUUUCAAAACGUCAAAGAAGUUUUGACUUGGCCCAAAGCCAGUGCAUUGCGUAGUUUUGUUGGAUGGUUACAGGUCGAAGCAACCGCCGCCGUAUAAUGGUAUUUAAUCAUUUGACCCAUGGACGCCGAAUGCGUGAACACAUGCCGAAAUUUGGAAUAUUCAUAUCACGUGAGAUUUUGUGGCACAUGUAACCAUAAUUAGUGAAAUAUGCUUUAAAAACAUAGGCAAAGCAAUAAAAAAACAGUAAGAGCCACAAGUGAUGCACAUUUGCAAAUUUUCAUAAAUGUGCCAUGUCAACUGUGUAACCACUGGUCUAUGAAUAACAGGCAAAUAACAGCACCUGGUGGUGUAUGGAAAGCAAUGCAGAUCAGUCCCUAAAUAUAAAUGGACAUUGUGCAACGUAGUGACUGCACUUUUCAUUCAUGAUGUGCAAUCCUGUGGGAUAUUGCUGUACAGAUAAGUGUUCUGAAUAAGUUUGGCCCAAGCAACAAUUUGACAUGGAAAGCGAGUGCCACAUUUGAGAGUAUUAUGCACCCCCAGAUACACUGAGGGAAGACUGAUAAUGAUGUAAUGGUCACAUUAUAGGUUCAAAGUAAGUUCAUUACCCAUGCCAAUGUGUUUGCUCUAUGUUUUAUCACUCUAAUGUCAUCCUUGUCCUUCCAUUCUUGCAACAUAUUGUGACAUUCUUACCUUGCAACAAUGUGUUAAGUGUAGACCUGUGUACUUGAUAGAGUGUUUUCCACAAGGUGAUUUCAUGAAAACUGCACAUGCACGAAAACCUCACUAUACAGGCAGGGUCAAACGUUUAUGGGAUGCAGAAUCUGAGAGAAAAAAUAUUUCUUCAGCCUGGGCAUGUAGCCUGUAUUUCAAAUGUGCUAUGUGUAAAAAGAAUAUGUGACCAACCUAUUGUUGUACUGAUUUAAUGGCUGCAAGCUGAAAUUGUGCUGACAUGUAAACUUUUGUGGAACGUAAUCCCAUAAACUGUCAACCCUGCCAGUGCAUAUUGAUUGCAAAGAGAAAACGCAGCAACUCUAGUACACUAGUAGCAGCUGGUGUAUUUCCUUAACUGCUCUACUUUCUAUUUACUUUCAUUGGUGUGACUACACUACGUCGUGGGUUAUGCAGGAAGCAUUCUUUUAUUCUGUGAAUCGUUAAUAUCUCUAUCUUUUGUUGUUGUUGUUGUUUACGAAGGAACUUUGAAGUUUUGCUUAAUUUGAUGCACAAAAAUUUUGCGAAUUAGACAGUAACAACACAAGUGUUCCCUCUUUGCCCUCACUGUGCAGCCAUGGUGUAAUGGUUUGGCUCCUGGCUGUGGACCCCACCAUUGCUACUUUGAUACCAACUACUAUGACUCAUUCUUUUGAAUCAAUGGAGCAUUUGUGUGACAUGCAUAUGUGGUUCAGAUUUCUGUUGGAGCCAGGCAUAUAGACUGUCACAAAAUCUGAGGGGCUACAGCUGCAGUGUAACAUGUUAGUAGACCUGAAGAAAGUUGGAGAGAGAGUUUGGCUGCAGAGAGAGGAACUGAAGGGAGAUUUGGGCUGCUCCAUACAUGUUGGAGCAGCCCAGGACCAGUACUUUAUUUUAUAAUGUGCUGUGGUGAAUCUCACCUGUAUUAAAAAUUAUUGCAUAAGGGCAAAAAUGUGAGCAUGUGUAUCAUUAAAAAUUAUAUUCUGGAGUACACCCAAUGCACAGUACACAAUUGUUCUUGCAUUGCACGUAAAAUUCUUGCUCGUGACAAAAAAAAAAGCUUUUAUUUUCUCACUUCAAAGUAAUUCCACCAUGAAUAACAUGAGCGGAGAGGAUAAGGAGAAUGUGCAGCCACACUCAAGGCUCUAUGCGUUUCAUCGCACCAGCGCAGGGAACUGUAGAAAAUAUGUAACACUUCUGGCUACUUAAUUACAUCAUAUGCCGAGUGCACUUUACAUAUGUCCUUUAGACGACGCGUUGUAACCAUAUGCGGGGUGCUAUAGGGAUGAUUGAGGAUGCAUUUGUACACAACGGCGGUGCUCGGCCUGCGCAGACAGACUCGCCAAUACCCGUCAGCCAGCUGCUGCGUUCUUUUUUUUCUUACAUUUUGUUGCGAACUAAGCGAUGAAAGCACAACGCAUGUGAAGGUACCAGCACUCGGCACACUUUGUCCACAUUGCUGAUAGCUUUCAAGGCGGUCGCACCGUACGCAGCAGCCGCCGAAGUAGAAUGCCCCCCCCCAGUGCUUUGCGCACAAGAUUGAGCCGCGAUCUUUGGGUGACCCGCACAAGUUUCACUCUCACAUAUGGCAUGCAGCGACGAUGUUAUCAUGCUUGGACCUUAUACAGGACAUCACACAGCCACGGUAGAAAUGCACCUAGAGUGUCCACAUAAUUGCUAUCGCAAUAACAAAGGAAGGCAGAUACGAAUCUCCCUUCACAUCGCAACUAUUUCUUGUGUUUAUAAGCUGUCUCAUGGGUUUAAGAAGGUAGUAGGAAAGGUCAGAGUAAGAGUAUUGUUAGCAAACUCUCCAAUCUCCCCCCCCUAAAAAACAAAUAAGGCCCUAAGAAACAAGUGUGAAAAGAAACUUACACAAAGCCAUGUUUACAUCAGUUGGUUUGCGAUUGUUGGUGCGCUGUUUUACUAGACUUCUUUUACCUGCAGGCGCUGCUAUAUAGGCCAAAUUGGCCAAUGCAGAAAUGACAAACUUGGGGACCGUGCACACUAGAUCUGUUGUGAACUAAUUGGCAGAACAAUGUAGAAAAAUGUAAUGGCAGUCGAUCAGUGUUUGAAAAAUGCACUAUUUCACAAAGAUAUUUAGGUGAGAUUUGUGAAGCUUAUCACAUUACCAAACUAAUUAUGCUUCCUCUUUCACUGCACUGCAAGUGAACUGUGCUAUUUAUUGAGCAUGUGACAACUCAUGUGACUGUGACAGCAUAGAUUAUUUUCUUUGUAUUAUUGCAUGCUUCACACAUGCAUACACAUACACACAAGUCAACAGGCAAUAAGAAUGGUUGUUCAAUGCUGUGUAUAAUCUCUGUUCUACCUUUCAUGCUGUUGCACCUGAUUCUGCAAUUCUUUUUUUAAUGUUAUAGAUGGUCGGGAGCUUUGCACCUUGCAGUAGUUAAAGCUAAUCACUGCUUCAAGACCCACUCUUACAAUUCAGGAUAGCUUUGGCUUGCUUUCAGUUGUGCAUGAAAAACAAUCCAUUGUGUAAUGUUGAUAAACAUUAAGAAAGGAAUUCGACGGGGUUGCUAUAGGGGCUUGUUAGUAUGGCAUCAUCUUUACUGUAGUGCAAGCAGAAUGAUCGGGACACAAAAAGGCACAUGCCUCGCAAAAGAGCUUCUCUUACGGCUAGGACAGAUCCUAUUGCAACAUGUUUGCUAAACUACAAAUUAUACUAAAUCUCAGUUAUUGGGAAACUUAAUUGGCAAUUAUCACAAUUUCUGAUGUGUGCUAGUCCAAAUGUGUUGCUCCCCAAAAUGAUCACUUUGUAUCUGUUCUUUAUCUCUACGGUACUUUCUCUAAGCACAAGUGAUUCAGUCAUUUUGAAAAGGAUAUCUUUUCAAAAGUAUUACACGUACACACGUGAAAGAUAUAUGAAAAGAACCACAAGCUCGCCAAGUUUAUACACCCUCUACAAUUAAAUGUUCAAUAUGUGCCCCUUUGAUGACGCGACACAUCCAGACGAUAAUCGAGCUCAUUCCAUACAUUUUGUAGCAUAGUCUUGUCAACUGUCUGCACUGCAGCACUGAUGCGUCCUUUGAGCUCGAUUAAGGAUUGCAGUAGUAUGGGUACGUUAAGUUUACGUACCCAUACUAUUUACCCAUACUACGUACCCAUACAUAUUAUUACUACUACGUACCCAUACUACUACCCAUAGCUAUUUUGACAAGGGGACCUGUCUCCAUCAGGACGAGCACCCAAUUGUCAAAACAUUGGCUCCAGGCACAAAGCUUCCCCUGUGCAUGCUGUGUCAAGUUUCCAUUUUCCUGUGACCCCUUUGUCAUGCGCUAAACCUGUAAUUUGUAAUUGGCUUAAAGAUUAACAUCUCCACUAAUCAAAGUGACACAUCUUUAUAUGUUUUCUCCUACCCCUGCCCACUCUACGUAGAAUGGGUGAGUGAUGUCACUCAGAAAGUGAACUCAUUUUCCAGUGGCACAUCAUCUGGAAUACAGCAGGCACAGCAUUGCUCAAAUCUUUUUUUUUUUAAUAACGUUUUAUACAUUUUAAUUUGUUUGCCUAUUACAAAUAAAAAUACAAUAAACACAAACACUUCAAAGCAGUGGCAUACUUCUGGCUGAGAAAGUGGACCGUCUACUGCAACUGCUAUACCUGUAAUGUAUUUGUGCAAUAUGUGCAAUAAAAGGAGUAGAGUAGAGCCUGUUGAGGAAAGCUUGGCUCUGUGGAAGACCUAGUGAGCUGCAUGAAGGAAGGAAAGGAGGAGAAAGAAUGCGACAGAGAUGAAGGCUACUGCAGUGGCAACAGCUGAACGAGGUGCGAAACAGAUAAUUGCAUGUGAACUUGUACUUUGGUCCUGUUCCAUCAUGAACGAAUUGGCCUCUGCAAUGUCUCCUCCGGUAUGAGAAAAAAACAUUUCUGGCCACCAGAUGCACCUGUGACAUUGCGACUUCUCUGUGCUGUACUCUUAUUUCCAUCGCAAGAGCACAGCUGAACCAGCAUUUCUCUCCUUACACUGCUAUGAGCUGGACGGUGAGGACAUCGUUGCUGCACUGAAAGAGAUGACUAGCCCUGGUAGCCCUGAAGCCAUCGCCGCCAAUUCCAAACAUCUGAUCAACGAUGUCAUCACUACAGGAGGGAGCGUCUCGGUUCUGCCAAUGGUUUUACUGUCUACCCAAGCUACUCGCCCGCGAGAUCAUUGCAAAGCCGUCUUCCGAGGCCACGUGCUUUUCAAGGGGUGAACAUUCAUUGUUGACUUGUACGUCCAGAGACAAUAGCGUCCAAAUAGGUAAACAAAUACGAGCAGCAUCUUGGAGGCUGGAGUGGAAAAAAAAAGAAGCCUGAAUUACUAUGGUGGAAGUGAUCAAAUAGGAUGGAUGGAUAUUAUGAGCGUCCCCUUUGGAACGGGGUGCUGAGUUGCGCCACCAAGCUCUUGCUAAUAUACUGCCUAAUGCCCUACCUAGGUAAAAAAAAAAAAAAAAAAAAAAAAAAAAAAAUAAAAACACACGAUGAAUUCCCAUAAUAAAAUUUUCUGACCCCUAUUGUGAACUUUGUUUUUGUACGUCUCCGUUUUUUGUUGUUUCUCUACUUUUCUUCCACCAAUCUUCCAAUCUCUUCUUACUCAUCUCUAUUGCGGACAUGUUUACUUUCCCCUUGCUCGCCACAGUCGUGUCUUGGCUGCCGAGACGCACCUUGACAGCACAACACUCCCGGCAGGGGGCCUCCUACGAAUGACCAGGAAAGCCAUGGGACUCCUCCAGCCCUAUCCAGCUGGCUCUACGCCUCGGGAGGCAGGUAGUCCUGUGUGGCGACUUCAACGCCCACCACACAGACUGGGGAAGCCGCUGCUGCUCCAGCGGAGGCCGAAGCCUCCGCGGCGCCAUCAGCACAGCCGGACUGGUGAUCCUGAACAGCGGAGGACCCACCUAUAUCCGCCGAGGGGUGAACUCAGCCAUCGAUCUCUCCCUCACCAUAGAACAGUGCUCCUACUCCUGGGACACAACUCCGGACACUUGGGGUUCGGACCACUUCCCUGUUGUG